rnacentral:rRNA from 1 species
CGUUGUCGAUACUUCUCUUUUCGUCCCGGUUUGUGGUAAUUCUAAUUACGAAAAAAAUUUGACCAACGAAGUUCAAGAGUUGGAUGACUUUCUAAUUAGCGACGAGGUCGUUCCAAUCGUGUAGUCUGAGAUGCUUAGAGAGGGAUAAGAGUAGAAGAGGACCACAAUGUAAUAUUUAGUCUAAAAUGAACAAAACAACACACUAGGCUCUACAG